UUUACAGUGCUAGAGGAUCAAGUGUAAAGCCUGAAACAUUGCAAGGCAACCUUCUACCAUGGAGCUAUAUCCCCAGCCUGAGAUUUUUCAAAAUUAUUUCUGUAAUUUAAAUUCUUUGCAAUGAGCAUGUGUUUGUAUUUUACCUAUAUAUUUUCUAAAGCAGUAAUAAUAAUAGCAAUAAAAUCCUCCUGCAAUCUUUACAGUAAGCAGUACAAGCUCAAGCGAAGGCGCUGGUUUUGAGAAGGGGAAGAGGUUUGUCUUCCAGGCUCUUUUUAGCACACGUUGUGUUAUUUCCAUCAUGUGAAUCAUCUGAAAGCUACAACUAAAGAAGCUUCUGUUUCUCCAGACACAGAGACUGGUUAUAACUAAUAAGUGUCAAGCAAUGCAUUAGUGCUGGGAACAGAAAUAAAUGAGACAACAUCCCUACUGCUAAGAAUUCACUGGUGUAGUAAAGAUGACAAAGCUGGGUAAGAAUGCAGAGGUCAGAGAGGUUAUGCAACCUGCCUAACAUCACACAGCAAGAAGGCAAAAGG